rnacentral:ncRNA from 2 species
CCUCAACAAGAGUUCCCGGGUGGCCGCGUGGUUUGCGCGGCCUAAAGGGAAUCCCGUGAGAAUCGGGAGCGGGACCGCCACUGUAACCCCGAUUCGCCAGAUGGCGAAUCAAAGCCCUCAGCCAGGAAGCCACUGUCUCGAGCCUGUCUCGGGAUGGGAAGGCGGCUGGGGGUCGGGGAAGCCAGGAGACCGGCCCGGGAACUCCUCACAGA